UCUGUGUGGGAGGAUCUGUCACCACUCAUUGUGGGGAUAUCUUGGUAUCUAGUGUACUGGGAGUAACACUAGCUAGUCUCCUACAGCACCUACGGUGACCUGGCAACCCAAUGAGAAAGAAACAAAUGAAUAAGUCAAUAUGUUAAUACUACUAACAGGUAACACUACAUUUACUAUACUACAGACUAAUUCUAUUCAAUGUACUCAUCUUACUAUUAUAACAAGAAAAAGAGAAAAAGAAAAGAUAUUUAAAUUAAAUACACAGAGAUAAAAAAAUUGAGUUAGGGGAAGAAAACUAAAAAUAAAAAUAAAAAAAUAAAGCUCUUAAGAACAAAUAGACAAAAAAACUGCAUAUGAACUUCACUGUACUAAUCAAUAAGACCAAUUCUAAUUCACUAUGUGAUAUUAUGAACACAACAAGAUAAAUCAAAAAAGAAAUGUGAUUUUUAAAUAAAAUACACACAGAUGAAAAGCAAAAAUUUGUGGGGAAGAUAAGAGGGAAAACAAAACAAAACAAAAAAACAAAAAGAACAAAAUAAACAGCACUAAAAAGAACAGACAGAACUGAAGAGCCAAAGUGACUAUUUUGAAACAAUCAAAAGCAGCCUCCGUUUCCCAUAGCAGACCCAAGUCCUUGUAAAAGCAGGCAUUCAGGCAUUCUGGAGAUAUCCAAGUUUACCAAGGACAGCUAGCUCAGCAGACCAAGGCCAGCUCAGUAGAGAUUACCAACUGAGGUAACUUCCUGAACCCAAGCCAAACAGAGACACACACCCCCCACCCUGCCCAAUCACAAAAGGCCCCGCACCUUAAGCCCUUGAUGAUGUAUCUCCCCUUUAAAAGCGUCCCCAAACAAAGACCUGGGCCUUUCCUCCUUCCUCUGCUGCACCGGUUGGUUGGAUGAGGUCCCUGUCGCGGCUUGUACCUUUCUAAUAGAAAUCUUGCUUUUGGAUUUCAGUGUGAUGAGGUUGUUGAUAGUUUAUUGGGGGAUCUACUUAUCUGGGCAUAACAAAAACAACAGUAUAUGAAGUACACUAAUUAUUAAGAUUAAUUCUAUUCACUAUGCUAAUAUUUUGAACAAACACUAUAAUGAAUUACACUAUACUAAUCAGUGAUUCACACAAAAUAAUCAAAAGUGACAAAACAGAAACACGGAGAACUGUAACAGAAAGAAAACACCAACUCUUAUAGCUAAACUUACAAUACUAAACCUCCUAUGUAAAGAAAGUGAUUACAGAUGAGAAAAAGAAGGUGAGAUACACAAGAAUUAAAGAAUUAGAAAAUGAAAAUGGAAAAUAAAGAGAAGAAA